UAUAAUAAUAUGCACGCGCAUCAUGCGCAAAUAACUAAUAAUAACUAGCACAAAACUCUAUGCUACUACUACAUACAUAUAUGAACAACAGAUCGUAGACAUCCAUUGGCAGCAAGAAAGAAACCAAGGUACCUAGUUCAAAGAGAGCUUAGCUAGGAAUACAAUGGAGGGCGCUCUUGCGAGCGCAGCAACCGGAGCCCUGCAGUCCGUUGUGGCGAAGCUGCAAGCUCUGCUCCGCGAUGAGUACAGGCGCCUCACGGGAAUGCGCGGCAAGAUGGAGUGGCUCACUGGCGAGCUGGUUGCCAUGAAGGCCUUCCUCACCGACAUGUCCAGGGACGAGACUCCUCCUGAUGAACAACGCAAGCUGUGGAUGAAGGACGUGCGGGAGCUCUCCUACGACAUCGAAGACAGCCUCGACGACUUCUUCGUGCAGCAUGCCGCCAAGCCAGACGGCAUCAUGGAGAAGAUGGCGAGCCUGCUGGAGAGGACCAAGAGUCGCCACCGGAUAGGCAAGGAGUUCGACGCCAUCAAGAGGAAAGUCAUGGAGGCGGACGCAAGGCGUAAGAGUUACAGUACCGACCGUCCGGUGGCCAAAGCCAGAUCAUCAUCCAUCGAUCCAAGAGCGCUAGCUAUAUUUGAGGAUGCGAGGAAGCCUGUUGGCAUCGACGGAGCAAAGGACGAGGUCACCAGACUGCUGCUGGGACGACUGGAACAAGAAGGCCACCAGGAGCAGCGGCAACGCCAGAUUGUCUAUAUUGUUGGAUCUGGAGGGCUGGGGAAAACGACCCUGGCAUACCAGGUAUAUCAACAACUUAAGAAUCGAUUCGAACAUCGGUCCUUCUUAUCCGUGUCCAGGAAUCCGGACAUCAAUGUCGUUUUCAAAACAAUCCUCCAUGAAGUGGUGACCGAAGAAGAUAGGCCGUCCGUGUUCAAGGGAGACUAUGUCAGCACUGUCGCUGCCUCGCUGGGACCCAGCAACUUAUCACAAUGAUCAGGGAAUACCUUAAACAAAAAAACAAAAGAUAUUUUAUUGUGCUGGAUGAUAUAUGGGACACGAAAACAUGGGAAAUCAUCAAGACUGCCUUCCCACUGACUCACUGUGGCAGCAUAAUCAUCGUCACCACUCGCAUAAACGAGGUUGCUAGGGAAUGCUGUAGAUACAGUGAUAAUGGGCAUAUAUACAAUAUGAGGCCUCUUAAUAUGGAGCACUCAGCACAGCUAUUCUAUGGAAGAUUAUUCAGCCCUGAAGAGAAAUGCCCUGGGCACCUCCAAGAGAUCUCUGGCCAAAUCCUGGAGAAAUGUGCCGGCUUACCAUUAGCGAUCAUCGCUAUGUCUGGCCUGCUGUCGAGCAAGGGGAGAACAAGGAAGGAGUGGGAUAUAGUGAAGGACUCGAUGGGCCGUGCGCUCGAAAGGAAUUCUGAUGUCCAACGAAUGCUAGAGAUAAUUUCACUCAGUUAUUUGGAUCUUCCUCCCGAGCUUAGAACUUGCCUAUUGUACCUCAGCAUAUUUCCAGAAGAUUACACGAUUGACAAGGACGGUUUGAUAAAGAGGUGGAUUGGUGAGGGGUUCAUCCAUGAGCAGAGCCAACCUGGAGGCUGGAGCAUACCGCUCAGGCGAGACGUGUUUUAACGAUCUCAUCAACAGGAGCUUGCUCCAGCCAGGAGAGAUGGACGAGUUUGGUGUGGUGAAAAGCUGUCGAAUUCAUGACACAGUUCUUGAUUUCAUUGUAUCCAAGGCCAUCGAGGAGAACUUUGUCACUUUAAUAGGAGUACCUGGUGUAAAUCCUACUGCUGUUGGAGACAAAGACAAGGUCCGUCGGUUGUCUAUGCAGAAUGAAGGCAAGAUCCCACCGGAGCUGGUCUUAUCUAGCGUCCGGUCGCUUAAUGUUUUCGGUGCUAGAGUGGAAAUCCCGUCUCUGUCGAGGUUCAGACGCCUGCGUGUUUUAGCCUUUGAAGGCUGUGGGCAGCUACAGGAUGACCAUCUCAAAGAUGUGGGUGAUCUGUUGCACCUGAGGUACUUGAGGCUCAACGAAGCAAGUGGUGUCACAGAGCUCCCAGAAAAAACAGCUGGGCUAAAGCACCUGGGGGCACUCGACGUACAUGGGCACAACACAGUAAUGGAAAUCCCAGCAUCCAUUUGUCAGGCCGGGCGAUUGGAAUGCCUGGUUACUCUAGCUGUUGAUCGUGAAACUAUAAUGCCUGAUGAGAUUGCAGACAUGAAAGCACUUCAGGUUCUGGAAGGCGUUAAUGUCUACAUCCAGUCGGUUGACUUCAUUGAGGGGCUCGGCGAGCUAACGAACCUGAGGAAGCUGGGGAUAAGAUUUAUCAACAGUGAUGCUGAUGAAGAAUGGGAUGAGAAAUAUGAAGAGAUCGUCUCCUCGGUCCGUAAGCUUGCCGACUCAAACCUUGAUUCUCUUCGUGUUCAUACUUUGAACGAGCCGCCAGAACUACUGAACAAGCUAAAUGACCAUGGUACAGUUGACCUUGGAGAACUUGUCGUCACGGGAGAUAUUGUCUCGGAUCUUGCAGACUGGUGGGGUGUACUUGUGAACCUUCACAAGCUACUCUUUUAUACGUACGGACUCAGUGAGAAAGAUGUGGAGACCUUAGGAAGCAUAACUGGUCUGGAAUACCUCUGCAUCCAUCUCUUCGAUGCACCCGACGACCCUCAUGAGCUGAAAGCUCCCCUAGAGAGAGCAAUGGAUGCCCACCCAAACCGUCCCAGAUUGGUAUGGGUCGAUGAGGAUUAGACCUCAACUCAGGCACCAUUUCUUCCUUGCAAACACUCAUUCUUUCUUCUGUCUGCUCACCAGAUACCUUUCUGUUGUUGGUUAAUUCAGUCGGUUUGUGUUUGAUUCUUAGCCAAUAAUAAAGUUUGAACCCAGUUGGGUGCGUCCAUGUACUCGCCAGACUCGUGCUUAGUUCACGAUGCGGUGUUCCCAUUGUUUCUGUUUUCUAUUGGGUCGUACAAGAUGUCAUGCAUGCUUCUUUCUCAGUCGUGGGAUGGCGCACAGGUGAUCAUGCCGUUGCCAUUAUGUACGUGUGUGGUCCGUGCUCAUCAGUUCGAGCUUGUGACGCUGUGAGUGGACAACUAAGAGCCGAGAAACAAAAAAGCCUUGAUUACAAGGAGUCGCUUAGUGGAGAAACGAAGAGUUUUGAA